GACGAACGCUGGCGGCGUGCUUAACACAUGCAAGUCGAACGGAAAGGCCCUGCUUUUGUGGGGUGCUCGAGUGGCGAACGGGUGAGUAACACGUGAGUAACCUGCCCUUGACUUUGGGAUAACUUCAGGAAACUGGGGCUAAUACCGGAUAGUAGCUCCUGCUGCAUGGUGGGGGUUGGAAAGUUUCGGCGGUUGGGGAUGGACUCGCGGCUUAUCAGCUUGUUGGUGGGGUAGUGGCUUACCAAGGCUUUGACGGGUAGCCGGCCUGAGAGGGUGACCGGCCACAUUGGGACUGAGAUACGGCCCAGACUCCUACGGGAGGCAGCAGUGGGGAAUAUUGCACAAUGGGCGGAAGCCUGAAGCAGCAACGCCGCGUGCGGGAUGACGGCCUUCGGGUUGUAAACCGCUUUCGCCUGUGACGAAGCGUGAGUGACGGUAAUGGGUAAAGAAGCACCGGCUAACUACGUG
rnacentral:rRNA from 1 species